rnacentral:rRNA from 1 species
AGCGUAGACGGAUGGACAAGUCUGAUGUGAAAGGCUGGGGCUCAACCCCGGGACUGCAUUGGAAACUGCCCGUCUUGAGUGCCGGAGAGGUAAGCGGAAUUCCUAGUGUAGCGGUGAAAUGCGUAGAUAUUAGGAGGAACACCAGUGGCGAAGGCAGCUUACUGGACGGUAACUGACGUUGAGGCUCGAAAGCGUGGGGAGCAAACA